UUUGCAUGAAUGAACAUCAGACAUGGAGACCUAAACGGAGUCGACAGGUGCUGAUACUACAUGGAUAUGCUGCCGAACACACACGGGUCCGUAUGAAGCAGAAAACACCAGCGGGGCUGCAUCAGCUCCGGAGCCGCUUACCUUCACCGGGCAGCAGCGGUCCUGGAAUCCGAGCAGAGAGCGAGGGAGGCCGGGGAUGCUGCCGCCGCCGCUCCCUCUCUGGACGGAGGAAUGGAUGGAUGGAUGGAUGGAUAAAAGGUUGGAUGUUCUCCGCUCCACCGAUCGGGUUUCUGCUGCCACGCUUCCUCCAAAAAGCGGGCCGACGCACAGCCGGGGGAUGAGGCUGUGGAGAGAAGCAGGCAACGUGAUCCUGAAUGAGAUGCAAUAUUUGGACUCUGAUGGGAAUUCUCCAGUUACAUAAUCACAUAUCCCCGACGAUGGAACGAGCUACCAGAUGCUAUCAGAGCAGGGGCGUCGCUCUCUACCUUCAAGAAUCUGUUGAAGACUCAUCUCUCCUCCUCCACACCUCUAACACCCCGACAUGCCUUACUAGCUCUUACUCUGCUCUCUCAUUGCACUUCUUUACCUGAUCUCCUUGCAUUUUGCCUUAUUGAACAGAUUUAGCUCUUAGUACUUACAUCAAGUUCUCCUACUGCGCUGAAGCUUUAGUGUUGUCUCUCACUUGUAAGUCCCUUUGGAUAAACGCAUCUGAUAAAUAAUAAAUGUAAAUAUAAAUA